CGUAAUCAAAAGAGUCGUGUCCACUAUCUGUGUCUUCUGCAUCCUUAAAGGAUCUGAAGCUGGGGAAAAUGUGGUUCCCGAUUACUUCAUUCACGUCCAACCCGACUAUAGGGCUGAUUGCAUCGAGGAAACCGGUGUUUCUAUUGAUGUACUGGAAGGGACGAUAAGUCAUGGCUUUGUUACGCAGGAUCCAGCCCUCAGUUGCUUCUUCAAAUGUAUCUUCGAGAAGUACGAUCUUUUCGAAGAUGACGACAGGAUCAAUUAUGAGAAAACAGUCGACUGCUUUCCGGAUGAUGUUAAGCACAUUUAUGAGAAGACUAUACUUUCCUGCAAAGAUACCCAUGGUAAAGAUAGAUGUGACACGGCUUUCCUAGUGAACAAAUGUUAUUUCGAUAAAGACCCGGACACUUAUUUCCACUUUUAAUUGAAAUGACAAAUGGUCAAUUUAUUUGGAAGGUUCAAGGGAUUUUAACAAUAUUAAACGAAUG